rnacentral:piRNA from 1 species
GUAGUGGUGGUGAACUGGUGCAUGCCUGU